GACGAACGCUGGCGGCGUGCUUAACACAUGCAAGUCGAACGGAAAGGCCUGCUUUCCCUUGUGGAUUGCGGGUACUCGCGUGGCGAACGGGUGAGUAACACGUGACUGUUCUGCCCCCAACUUGUGUAUAAGCCUGGGAAACUGCGUCUAAUUCCCGAUAGGACUGCAGGGUGGUGCCUGUGGUUGCGACCGAUUUUCUAGUGGUUGCGGAUGAGCUCGCGGCCUAGCAGCUUGUUGGUGGGGUAAUGGCCUACCAAGGCGGCGACGGGUAGCCGGCCUGGGAUGGUGGACGUGAGCGUUGGAACGGAGAUACGGCCCAGACGACUAGGGGAGGCAGCAGUGGGGAAGAAUGCACGAUGGGCGGUAGCCUGUGGCCGCGAGGCCGCGUCGGGAAUGACGGCCUUGGGAUUGUAGACUCCUUGUGGUCACGAGGAAGCCACCGGGUUGGAAGGUUGGUGACGGUAGUGGUAGAAGAAGCACCGGCUAACUACGUG
rnacentral:rRNA from 1 species